UGAAGUAGCUCAGCAGAAAGAGCACGAGGCCAAGACCUCGGAGUCGCAGGUUUGAUUCCUGCCUUCACUG
rnacentral:tRNA from 1 species